rnacentral:rRNA from 1 species
AGUGAACGCUGGCGGUAGGCCUAACACAUGCAAGUCGAACGGCAGCACAGUAAGAGCUUGCUCUUACGGGUGGCGAGUGGCGGACGGGUGAGGAAUACAUCGGAAUCUACUUUUUCGUGGGGGAUAACGUAGGGAAACUUACGCUAAUACCGCAUACGACCUACGGGUGAAAGCAGGGGAUCUUCGGACCUUGCGCGAUUGAAUGAGCCGAUGUCGGAUUAGCUAGUUGGCGGGGUAAAGGCCCACCAAGGCGACGAUCCGUAGCUGGUCUGAGAGGAUGAUCAGCCACACUGGAACUGAGACACGGCCCAGACUCCUACGGGAGGCAGCAGUGGGGAAUAUUGGACAAUGGGCGCAAGCCUGAUCCAGCCAUACCGCGUGGGUGAAGAAGGCCUUCGGGUUGUAAAGCCCUUUUGUUGGGAAAGAAAAGCAGCAGGUUAACACCCCGCUGUUCUGACGGUACCCAAAGAAUAAGCACCGGCUAACUUCGUG